AACAGUAAGCACCGUACCCCUUUGAUCAUUUUCUCGUAAUUAUGCAAUUUUUCCAUUUAACCAAUAAACAAUUAGCAAUUAGUUCAGUUAUCUCUCGUAAACAGUUGACAUUGAAGCAUUCGAAGCCAAAUUAGUUUGGUUCGUGAGCAGAAGCUGGAAGCUGUAAAGCUGUACGUAGUAGCAGUGAAGGGUUAAAUUAUGGCAAGGGGAAAAAUCGCGAUCAGAAGAAUUGACAAUCCAGCAAGCAGGCAAGUGACUUUCUCAAAACGGAAAAGCGGAUUAAUUAAGAAAGCCAAGGAACUAGCCAUCCUUUGCGACGCUCAAGUUGGAGUAACCAUCUUUUCCAGUACUGGUCGGCUCUAUGAAUACUCAAGCUCCAGCAUGAAAUCAAUAUUUGACAGAUAUAAUGAAGAGAAGGAACACCAUCAAUUGUUGACACCCUCUUCAGCGGCCAAGUUGUGGCGGACAGAGGCAGAAAGGCUGAGACAACAAAUGGAAGAUCUGCAAGAGAACUACAGGUAAACAACAAGUUUAUAGUCAGGUACAUGUGAAAAAUAUUGCCAAAGCAUCAAAGAAAAAUGGACUACAACAAGUUUACAUACUCCAAGAAAGCAUCAAAAUGACGAAUGACAACGGGAACCAGACUGUUCAUAUGGUAACUGCCAAUGCAUCGACAAGCCGAACAACACCGACAUUGGCACCGGCAGAAAAACCCGAAAAUUUUUUCGGGAUUGACUUCAAGCACUGGCAGCAGAAGAUGCUCUUCUACUUGACGACUUUAAGUCUGCAGAAGUUCAUUAAGAAAGAUGUUCUUGUUCUGCCCGACGAAACUCCAGAAAAUGAGAGCUUUCUCGUGACUGAGUCGUAGAAGCAUUCUGAUUUUCUAUGCAAGAAUUACAUUCUUAGUGGACUAGAGGACAAUCUAUAUAACGUCUAUAGUAAUAUGGAGACGUCAAAAUAACUAUGGAUAGCGCUUGAAAGGAAAUACAAAACGGAAGAUGCCGAGUUAAAGAAAUUCGUUGCCGCUAAAUUUUUGGACUAUAAAAUGGUAGAUAGCAAGCCUGUUAUUACCCAAGUCCAAGAAUUUCAAGUGAUUAUUCAUGAUCUCCUUGUUGAAGGUCUUGUCAUCAAUGAAGCGUUCCAAGUUACAGCAAUGAUUGAAAAGUUGCCUCCUUGGUGGAAGGACUUCAAAAAUUACUUGAAACACAAACGAAAGGAGAUGUCCCUUGAGAAUCUAAGAGGACAAUAAAGCUACUGAAAAGAAAGGACGUGGAAAAUCAACAAUAAUGGGAGCAAACAUUGUUGAGGAUAGAAAGAGAAAGAAGGCUUAUGGACCGAAAAGCAACCCAAGCAAGAAGUGAUUCAACGAAAAUUGCUACAAUUGUGGAAAAGCUGGACACAGGUCUGCAGAUUGUCGUGCUCCAAAGAAAGACAAGAAGAAGGUUCAAGCAAACAUGGUUGAAAAGCACGAAGAUAUCGAUGACUUAUGUGCCAUGCUUUCUGAAUGCAACCUGGUAGGAAAUCCUAAGGAGUGGUGGAUUGAUUCUGGAGCCACUCGCCAUGUUUGUGCUGUUAGAGAAGCAUUUGCUACAUAUGCUCUUGUUGGACCCGAAGAGACGCUUUCUAUGGGAAAUUCUGUAACGGCAAAAAUUGAAGGAUCUGGAAAGAUAUUUAUGAAAAUGACUUCUGGUAAGGUGGUGACCUUGAACAACGUCCUUCAUGUUCCCGAGAUUAGAAAGAACUUAGUCUCUGUUGGACUUCUUGUUAAGAAUGGGUUUAAGUAUGUCUUUGUAUCUGAUAAGGUUGUAAUAAGUAAGA